GCAUUGGUGGUUCAGUGGUAGAAUUCUCGCCUCCCGCGCGGGAGACCUGGGUCCGAUUCCCGGCCAAUGCA
rfam:Danio rerio chromosome 4, GRCz11 reference primary assembly.